rnacentral:rRNA from 1 species
AUUGAACGCUGGCGGCAUGCCUUACACAUGCAAGUCGAACGGCAGCAUAGGACCUUGCUCCUGAUGGCGAGUGGCGAACGGGUGAGUAAUAUAUCGGAACGUGCCGUAGAGUGGGGGAUAACUAGUCGAAAGACUAGCUAAUACCGCAUACGAUCUACGGAUGAAAGUGGGGGAUCGCAAGACCUCAUGCUCCUGGAGCGGCCGAUAUCGGAUUAGCUAGUUGGGGGGGUAAAAGCCUAACAAGGCAACGAGCAGUAGCUGGUCUGAGAGGACGAGCGGACACAAUGGGACUGAGACACGGCCCAGACUCCUACGGGAGGCGGCAGUGGGGAAUUUUGGACAAUGGGGGCAAGCCUGAUCCAGCAAUGCCGCGUGAGUGAGGAGGGCCUUCGGGUUGUAAAGCUCUUUUGUCAGGGAAGAAACGGUAGUAGCGAAUAACUAUUACUAAUGACGGUACCUGAAGAAUAAGCACCGGCUAACUACGUGCCAGCCGCCGCAGUAA